rnacentral:rRNA from 1 species
CUGUGAAGAUGCAGUGUACCCGCGGCAAGACGGAAAGACCCCGUGAACCUUUACUAUAGCUUGACACUGAACAUUGAGCCUUGAUGUGUAGGAUAGGUGGGAGGCUUUGAAGCGUGGACGCCAGUCUGCGUGGAGCCGACCUUGAAAUACCACCCUUUAAUGUUUGAUGUUCUAACGUGGAUCCGUAAUCCGGGUUGCGGACAGUGUCUGGUGGGUAGUUUGACUGGGGCGGUCUCCUCCUAAAGAGUAACGGAGGAGCACGAAGGUUGGCUAAUCCUGGUCGGACAUCAGGAGGUUAGUGCAAUGGCAUAAGCCAGCUUGACUGCGAGCGUGACGGCGCGAGCAGGUGCGAAAGCAGGUCAUAGUGAUCCGGUGGUUCUGAAUGGAAGGGCCAUCGCUCAACGGAUAAAAGGUACUCCGGGGAUAACAGGCUGAUACCGCCCAAGAGUUCAUAUCGACGGCGGUGUUUGGCACCUCGAUGUCGGCUCAUCACAUCCUGGGGCUGAAGUAGGUCCCAAGGGUAUGGCUGUUCGCCAUUUAAAGUGGUACGCGAGCUGGGUUUAGAACGUCGUGAGACAGUUCGGUCCCUAUCUGCCGUGGGCGCUGGAGAACUGAGGGGGGCUGCUCCUAGUACGAGAGGACCGGAGUGGACGCAUCACUGGUGUUCGGGUUGUCAUGCCAAUGGCACUGCCCGGUAGCUAAAUGCGGAAGAGAUAAGUGCUGAAAGCAUCUAAGCACGAAACUUGCCCCGAGAUGAGUUCUCCCUGAGACUUAGAGUCUCCUGAAGGAACGUUGAAGACGACGACGUUGAUAGGCCGGGUGUGUAAGCGCAGCGAUGCGUUGAGCUAACCGGUACUAAUGAACCGUGAGGCUUAACCUUACAACGCCGAAG